CGAAGGCGUCGAACGUUGUCCGGAAUAACUGGGCGUAAAGGGCGCGUAGGCGGUCGGGUAAGUGAGAUGUGAAAGCUCUGGGCUCAACCCAGGAAUUGCAUUUCAUACUGCUCGACUUGAGUUCGGUAGAGGAGGGCGGAAUUCCAGGUGUAGCGGUGAAAUGCGUAGAUAUCUGGAGGAACACCCGUGGCGAAGGCGGCUCUCUGGUCCGAUACUGACGCUGAGGCGCGAAAGCUAGGGUAGCAAACAGGAUUAGAUACCCUGGUAGUCCUAGCUGUAAACGGUGAGUACUAGGUGUUGGAGGUAUUGACCCCUUCAGUGCCGAAGCUAACGCAUUAAGUACUCCGCCUGGGAACUACGGCCGCAAGGCUG
rnacentral:rRNA from 1 species